rnacentral:rRNA from 1 species
GCGGACGGGUGAGUAACACGUGGGUAACCUGCCCAUAAGACUGGGAUAACUCCGGGAAACCGGGGCUAAUACCGGAUAACAUCUAGCACCGCAUGGUGCAAGAUUGAAAGGCGGCUUCGGCUGUCACUUAUGGAUGGACCCGCGUCGCAUUAGCUAGUUGGUGAGGUAACGGCUCACCAAGGCGACGAUGCGUAGCCGACCUGAGAGGGUGAUCGGCCACACUGGGACUGAGACACGGCCCAGACUCCUACGGGAGGCAGCAGUAGGGAAUCUUCCGCAAUGGACGAAAGUCUGA